GGGCCCUUAGCUCAAUUGGUAAGAGCAGCUGGCUCAUAACCGGUUGGUUGCAGGUUCGAGUCCUGCAGGGCCCACCA
rnacentral:tRNA from 1 species